rnacentral:rRNA from 1 species
GGGUUGUGAGGUUAAGCGACUAAGCGUACACGGUGGAUGCCCUGGCAGUCAGAGGCGAUGAAGGACGUGCUAAUCUGCGAAAAGCGUCGGUAAGGUGAUAUGAACCGUUAUAACCGGCGAUGUCCGAAUGGGGAAACCCAGUGCAAUUCGUUGCACUAUCGUUAACUGAAUACAUAGGUUAACGAGGCGAACCGGGGGAACUGAAACAUCUAAGUACCCCGAGGAAAAGAAAUCAACCGAGAUUCCCCCAGUAGCGGCGAGCGAACGGGGAGCAGCCCAGAGUCUGAAUCAGCUUGUGUGUUAGUGGAACGGUCUGGAAAGUCCGACGGUACAGGGUGAUAGUCCCGUACACCAAAAUGCACAGGCUGUGAACUCGAAGAGUAGGGCGGGACACGUGGUAUCCUGUCUGAAUAUGGGGGGACCAUCCUCCAAGGCUAAAUACUCCUGACUGACCGAUAGUGAACCAGUACCGUGAGGGAAAGGCGAAAAGAACCCCGGCGAGGGGAGUGAAAAAGAACCUGAAACCGUGUACGUACAAGCAGUGGGAGCACCUUCGGGUGUGACUGCGUACCUUUUGUAUAAUGGGUCAGCGACUUAUAUUCUGUAGCAAGGUUAACCGUAUAGGGGAGCCGCAGGGAAACCGAGUCUUAACUGGGCGUUAAGUUGCAGGGUAUAGACCCGAAACCCGGUGAUCUAGCCAUGGGCAGGUUGAAGGUUGGGUAACACUAACUGGAGGACCGAACCGACUAAUGUUGAAAAAUUAGCGGAUGACUUGUGGCUGGGGGUGAAAGGCCAAUCAAACCGGGAGAUAGCUGGUUCUCCCCGAAAGCUAUUUAGGUAGCGCCUCGUGAACUCAUCUUCGGGGGUAGAGCACUGUUUCGGCUAGGGGGUCAUCCCGACUUACCAACCCGAUGCAAACUACGAAUACCGAAGAAUGUUAUCACGGGAGACACACGGCGGGUGCUAACGUCCGUCGUGAAGAGGGAAACAACCCAGACCGCCAGCUAAGGUCCCAAAGUCAUGGUUAAGUGGGAAACGAUGUGGGAAGGCACAGACAGCCAGGAUGUUGGCUUAGAAGCAGCCAUCAUUUAAAGAAAGCGUAAUAGCUCACUGGUCGAGUCGGCCUGCGCGGAAGAUGUAACGGGGCUAAACCAUGCACCGAAGCUGCGGCAGCGACACUAUGUGUUGUUGGGUAGGGGAGCGUUCUGUAAGCCUGCGAAGGUGACCUGUGAGGGUUGCUGGAGGUAUCAGAAGUGCGAAUGCUGACAUAAGUAACGAUAAAGCGGGUGAAAAGCCCGCUCGCCGGAAGACCAAGGGUUCCUGUCCAACGUUAAUCGGGGCAGGGUGAGUCGACCCCUAAGGCGAGGCCGAAAGGCGUAGUCGAUGGGAAACAGGUUAAUAUUCCUGUACUUGGUGUUACUGCGAAGGGGGGACGGAGAAGGCUAUGUUAGCCGGGCGACGGUUGUCCCGGUUUAAGCAUGUAGGCUGAUUGUCCAGGCAAAUCCGGAUAAUCAAGGCUGAGGUGUGAUGACGAGGCACUACGGUGCUGAAGUAACAAAUGCCCUGCUUCCAGGAAAAGCCUCUAAGCAUCAGGUAACAUCAAAUCGUACCCCAAACCGACACAGGUGGUCAGGUAGAGAAUACCAAGGCGCUUGAGAGAACUCGGGUGAAGGAACUAGGCAAAAUGGUGCCGUAACUUCGGGAGAAGGCACGCUGGUGUGUAGGUGAAGCCCCUGCGGGUGGAGCUGAGACCAGUCGAAGAUACCAGCUGGCUGCAACUGUUUAUUAAAAACACAGCACUGUGCAAACACGAAAGUGGACGUAUACGGUGUGACGCCUGCCCGGUGCCGGAAGGUUAAUUGAUGGGGUUAUCCGUAAGGAGAAGCUCUUGAUCGAAGCCCCGGUAAACGGCGGCCGUAACUAUAACGGUCCUAAGGUAGCGAAAUUCCUUGUCGGGUAAGUUCCGACCUGCACGAAUGGCGUAAUGAUGGCCAGGCUGUCUCCACCCGAGACUCAGUGAAAUUGAACUCGCUGUGAAGAUGCAGUGUACCCGCGGCAAGACGGAAAGACCCCGUGAACCUUUACUAUAGCUUGACACUGAACAUUGAGCCUUGAUGUGUAGGAUAGGUGGGAGGCUUUGAAGCGUGGACGCCAGUCUGCGUGGAGCCAACCUUGAAAUACCACCCUUUAAUGUUUGAUGUUCUAACGUUGGCCCCUGACCGGGGUUGCGGACAGUGUCUGGUGGGUAGUUUGACUGGGGCGGUCUCCUCCCAAAGCGUAACGGAGGAGCACGAAGGUUAGCUAAUCCUGGUCGGACAUCAGGAGGUUAGUGCAAUGGCAUAAGCUAGCUUGACUGCGAGCGUGACGGCGCGAGCAGGUGCGAAAGCAGGUCAUAGUGAUCCGGUGGUUCUGAAUGGAAGGGCCAUCGCUCAACGGAUAAAAGGUACUCCGGGGAUAACAGGCUGAUACCGCCCAAGAGUUCAUAUCGACGGCGGUGUUUGGCACCUCGAUGUCGGCUCAUCACAUCCUGGGGCUGAAGUAGGUCCCAAGGGUAUGGCUGUUCGCCAUUUAAAGUGGUACGCGAGCUGGGUUUAGAACGUCGUGAGACAGUUCGGUCCCUAUCUGCCGUGGGCGCUGGAGAAUUGAGGGGGGCUGCUCCUAGUACGAGAGGACCGGAGUGGACGCAUCACUGGUGUUCGGGUUGUCAUGCCAAUGGCACUGCCCGGUAGCUAAAUGCGGAAGAGAUAAGUGCUGAAAGCAUCUAAGCACGAAACUUGCCCCGAGAUGAGUUCUCCCUGAGACUUUAAGUCUCCUGAAGGAACGUUAAAGACGAUGACGUUGAUAGGCCGGGUGUGUAAGCGCAGCGAUGCGUUGAGCUAACCGGUACUAAUGAACCGUGAGGCUUAACCUUACAACGCCGAAG